rnacentral:rRNA from 1 species
GGGAAUCUACCCAACCCUACGGAAUAACGCAUGGAAACGUGUGCUAAUACCGUAUACGCCCUAUGGGGGAAAGAUUUAUCGGGGAUGGAUGAGCCCGCGUUGGAUUAGCUAGUUGGUGGGGUAAAGGCCUACCAAGGCGACGAUCCAUAGCUGGUCUGAGAGGAUGAUCAGCCACAUUGGGACUGAGACACGGCCCAAACUCCUACGGGAGGCAGCAGUGGGGAAUAUUGGACAAUGGGCGCAAGCCUGAUCCAGCCAUGCCGCGUGAGUGAUGAAGGCCCUAGGGUUGUAAAGCUCUUUCACCGGUGAAGAUAAUGACGGUAACCGGAGAAGAAGCCCCGGCUAACUUCGUGCCAGCAGCCGCGGUAAUACGAAGGGGGCUAGCGUUGUUCGGAAUUACUGGGCGUAAAGCGCACGUAGGCGGAUAUUUAAGUCAGGGGUGAAAUCCCGGGGCUCAACCCCGGAACUGCCUUUGAUACUGGGUAUCUAGAGUCCAGAAGAGGUGAGUGGAAUUCCGAGU